rnacentral:rRNA from 1 species
GAUGAACGCUGGCGGCGUGCUUAACACAUGCAAGUCGAACGGAAAGGCCCUGCUUUUGUCUGGUGCUCGAGUGGCGAACGGGUGAGUAACACGUGAGUAACCUGCCCUUGACUUUGGGAUAACUUCAGGAAACUGCGGCUAAUACCGGAUACGAGCUCCUGCUGCAUGGUGGGCGUUGGAAAGUUUCGGCGGUUGGGGAUGGACUCGCGGCUUAUCAGCUUGUUGGUGGGGUAGUGGCUUACCUAGGCUUCGACGGGUAGCCGGCCUGAGAGGGUGACCGGCCACACUGGGACUGAGAGACGGACCAGACUCCUACGGGAGGCAGCAGUGGGGAAUAUUGCACAAUGGGCGGAAGCCUGAUGCAGCAACGCCGCGUGCGGGAUGACGGCCUUCGGGUUGUAAACCGCUUUCGGCUGUGACGAAGCGAGAGUGACGGUAACGGGUGAAGAAGCACCGGCUAACUACGUG